AUACUUGGUGUGAAUUGCAGAAUCCCGUGAACCAUCGAGUCUUUGAACGCAAGUUGCGCCCGAAGCCAUUAGGCCGAGGGCACGUCUGCCUGGGCGUCA
rnacentral:rRNA from 1 species